rnacentral:rRNA from 1 species
GACGAACGCUGGCGGCGUGCUUAACACAUGCAAGUCGAACGGUAAGGCCCUUCGGGGUACACGAGUGGCGAACGGGUGAGUAACACGUGGGUGAUCUGCCCUGCACUUCGGGAUAAGCCUGGGAAACGGGGUCAAAUACCGGAUAGGACCACUGCCUGCAUGGGUGGUGGUGGAAAGCUUUUGCGGUGUGGGAUGGGCCCGCGGCCUAUCAGCUUGUUGGGGGGGUGAUGGCCUACCAAGGCGACGACGGGUAGCCGGCCUGAGAGGGUGACCGGCCACACUGGGACUGAGAUACGGCCCAGACUCCUACGGGAGGCAGCAGUGGGGAAUAUUGCACAAUGGGCGCAAGCCUGAUGCAGCGACGCCGCGUGAGGGAUGACGGCCUUCGGGUUGUAAACCUCUUUCAGCACCGACGAAGCGCAAGUGACGGUAGGUGCAGAAGAAGGACCGGCCAACUACGUGCCAGCCGCCGCGGUAA